rnacentral:rRNA from 1 species
CCUACGGGUGGCAGCAGUGGGGAAUAUUGGACAAUGGGCGAAAGCCUGAUCCAGCCAUGCCGCGUGUGUGAAGAAGGCCUUCGGGUUGUAAAGCACUUUCAGUGGGGAAGAAAGCCUUGGGGCUAAUACCCUCGAGGAAGGACAUCACCCACAGAAGAAGCACCGGCUAACUCCGUGCCAGCAGCCGCGGUAAUACGGAGGGUGCGAGCGUUAAUCGGAAUUACUGGGCGUAAAGCGCGCGUAGGCGGUCUGAUAAGCCGGUUGUGAAAGCCCCGGGCUCAACCUGGGAGCGGCAUCCGGAACUGUCAGGCUAGAGUGCAGGAGAGGAAGGUAGAAUUCCCGGUGUAGCGGUGAAAUGCGUAGAGAUCGGGAGGAAUACCAGUGGCGAAGGCGGCCUUCUGGACUGACACUGACGCUGAGGUGCGAAAGCGUGGGUAGCAAACAGGAUUAGAUACCCUAGUAGUC